rnacentral:misc_RNA from 1 species
ACAGAGUUUACAACUCCCAAACCCAAAUGUGAACAUACCUAUUGUUGCUUCGGCGUGCUCGCCCCGGCGUCCGGCUGGCCUUGUGCUGGUCGCGGCCCGGACCCAGGUGGCCGCCGGAGAAAACCAAAACUCUUUGUAUUAUCAGCCUUCUGAAUCCGCCGCAAGGCAAAACAAAUGAAUCAAAACUUUCAACAACGGAUCUCUUGGUUCUGGCAUCGAUGAAGAACGCAGCGAAAUGCGAUAAGUAAUGUGAAUUGCAGAAUUCAGUGAAUCUCGAAUCUUUGAACGCACAUUGCGCCCGGGAGCUCUCCCGGGCAUGCCUGUUCGAGCGUCAUUUCAACCCUCGAUUUCCCUUUGGGGAAGUCGGCCGUUGGAGAUCGGCAGCACUGCCGGCUCCCAAAUUCAGUGGCGACCCGCCGCGGGGACCCCUGCGUAGUAACUAACACUCGCACCGGAAACCAGACGUGUCACGCCGUAAAACCCCAACUUUCUGAAC